rnacentral:rRNA from 1 species
UAGGGAAUCUUCCGCAAUGGACGCAAGUCUGACGGAGCAACGCCGCGUGAGUGAAGAAGGAUUUCGGUUCGUAAAACUCUGUUGUUAGAGAAGAACAGCGCAUAGAGUAACUGUUAUGCGUGUGACGGUAUCUAACCAGAAAGCCACGGCUAACUACGUGCCAGCAGCCGCGGUAAUACGUAGGUGGCAAGCGUUGUCCGGAUUUAUUGGGCGUAAAGCGAGCGCAGGCGGUCAAUUAAGUCUGAUGUGAAAGCCCCCGGCUCAACCGGGGAGGGUCAUUGGAAACUGGUUGACGUGAGUGCAGAAGAGGAGAGUGGAAUUCCAUGUGUAGCGGUGAAAUGCGUAGAUAUAUGGAGGAACACCAGUGGCGAAGGCGACUCUCUGGUCUGUAACUGACGCUGAGGCUCGAAAGCGUGGGUAGCAAACAGG